rnacentral:ncRNA from 1 species
AAACUGAAGAGUUUGAUCAUGGCUCAGAUUGAACGCUGGCGGCAGGCCUAACACAUGCAAGUCGAGCGGUAACAGAUCCAGCUUGCUGGAUGCUGACGAGCGGCGGACGGGUGAGUAAUGCAUAGGAAUCUGCCCGGUAGUGGGGGAUAACCUGGGGAAACCCAGGCUAAUACCGCAUACGUCCUACGGGAGAAAGGGGGCUUCGGCUCCCGCUAUCGGAUGAGCCUAUGUCGGAUUAGCUAGUUGGUGAGGUAACGGCUCACCAAGGCCACGAUCCGUAGCUGGUCUGAGAGGAUGAUCAGCCACAUCGGGACUGAGACACGGCCCGAACUCCUACGGGAGGCAGCAGUGGGGAAUAUUGGACAAUGGGGGGAACCCUGAUCCAGCCAUGCCGCGUGUGUGAAGAAGGCCCUCGGGUUGUAAAGCACUUUCAGCGAGGAAGAACGCCUAGCGGUUAAUACCCGCUAGGAAAGACAUCACUCGCAGAAGAAGCACCGGCUAACUCCGUGCCAGCAGCCGCGGUAAUACGGAGGGUGCAAGCGUUAAUCGGAAUUACUGGGCGUAAAGCGCGCGUAGGUGGCUUGAUAAGCCGGUUGUGAAAGCCCCGGGCUCAACCCUGG